rnacentral:rRNA from 1 species
AUUGAACGCUGGCGGCAGGCCUAACACAUGCAAGUCGAACGAGUGGCGGACGGGUGAGUAAUGUCUGGGAAACUGCCCGAUGGAGGGGGAUAACUACUGGAAACGGUAGCUAAUACCGCAUACUAUCAGAUGAGCCUAGGUGGGUUGAGCUCGUUGGUGGGGUAAAGGCCUACAAAGGCGACGAUCCGUAACUGGUCUGAGAGGAUGAUCAGUCACAUGGGAACUGAGACACGGUCCAGACUCCUACGGGAGGCAGCAGUGGGGAAUAUUGCACAAUGGGCGCAAGCCUGAUGCAGCCAUGCCGCGUGUAUGAAGAAGGCCUUCGGGUUGUAAAGUACUUUCAGCGGGGAGGCGUUACCCGCAGAAGAAGCACCGGCUAACUCCGUGCCAGCAGCCGCGGUAAUUC